rnacentral:rRNA from 1 species
CAGUAGCCGCGGUAAUACAGAGGGUGCGAGCGUUAAUCGGAUUUACUGGGCGUAAAGCGUGCGUAGGCGGCUUUUUAAGUCGGAUGUGAAAUCCCUGAGCUUAACUUAGGAAUUGCAUUCGAUACUGGGAAGCUAGAGUAUGGGAGAGGAUGGUAGAAUUCCAGGUGUAGCGGUGAAAUGCGUAGAGAUCUGGAGGAAUACCGAUGGCGAAGGCAGCCAUCUGGCCUAAUACUGACGCUGAGGUACGAAAGCAUGGGGAGCAAACAGGAUUAGAGACCCGUGUAGUCCCUGUCUCUUAUAC